rnacentral:rRNA from 1 species
AUUGAACGCUGGCGGCAGGCCUAACACAUGCAAGUCGAACGAGUGGCGGACGGGUGAGUAAUGUCUGGGAAUCUGCCUGAUCGAGGGGGAUAACUACUGGAAACGGUGGCUAAUACCGCAUACUAUCGGAUGUACCCAUAUGGGAUUAGCUAGUAGGUGGGGUAAAGGCUCACCUAGGCGACGAUCCCUAGCUGGUCUGAGAGGAUGACCAGCCACACUGGAACUGAGACACGGCCCAGACUCCUACGGGAGGAAGCAGUGGGGAAUAUUGCACAAUGGGCGCAAGCCUGAUGCAGCCAUGCCGGGUGUAUGAAGAAGGCCUUAGGGUUGUAAAGUACUUUCAGCGGGGAGGCGUUACCCGCAGAAGAAGCACCGGCUAACUCCGUGCCAGCAGCCGCGGUAAUAC